rnacentral:rRNA from 1 species
AUGAUGGACCUGGGCCCCGGCACGCCGUACAACCUUCAGGUCGCCAACUGCUGCCGGGGCGGUGUCCUGUCUUCACUCGUGCAGAACAGCAAGGCGGCCACAUCGACGUUCAUGAUGACCGUCGGCAACUUUGCUCCUUCCAGCGACGUCGGCCCCCAGAUGCCAUUCAAUUUCAGCAUUGGGGUGCCAGGUUACACUUGCAGCAAUGCCACAGUGGUGCCCCCAUCCAGGACCCAGAUUGACAAGCAGCGGCACAUCCAGGCCUUGAGUUGGGCGUUCCCGAGGAAGAUGUACUUUGACGGCGGUGAGUGCGCGAUGCCACCACCUGACGACUACCCACCGCUGCCCAGCGCCAGCUGCGAUCAGCUCCUCUCGGCAGUGCUGAGGUCACUGCUUGCGGGCCUCGUCUUGUUGUUUCUCCUGUUCUAG